CAGUCGCCGCGGGAAUACGAAGGGGGCUAGCGUUGUUCGGAAUUACUGGGCGUAAAGGGCGCGUAGGCGGCGCAUCAAGUCAGGCGUGAAAGCCCCGGGCUUAACCUGGGAAUUGCGCUUGAGACUGGUGUGCUUGAGUACCGGAGAGGUGGGUGGAAUUCCCAGUGUAGAGGUGAAAUUCGUAGAUAUUGGGAAGAACACCGGUGGCGAAGGCGGCCCACUGGACGGUUACUGACGCUGAGGCGCGAAAGCGUGGGGAGCAAACAGGAUUAGAGACCCCCGUAGUCCCUGUCUUUAUACA
rnacentral:rRNA from 1 species